rnacentral:lncRNA from 1 species
UCUUUGGUACUUGAUUGAUUUUGAUUUAUAAUUGAUACUGGGAAGGAAGAUUAUAAAUUGGAGUUAAUAACAAACAUCAUCGGAAUAAUAAUUGGAGCGGGAGCAGAAGAUUUAACCUGUGGGAUCUUGGAAAUAAUCACUGUGCUUAUUGAACUAAUUGAAAUCUAUUUUACUAUUGGAAGAUAGAUUAUAGAUUUUAAUUAGUAUAUUUAAUAAGAC